rnacentral:ncRNA from 1 species
GUCCGGGGUCGGGGAUAAGAGGGAAUCGGGUGCGAAUCCCGGACAGUUCCCGCUGCUGUGAGCGCCCCAUGCCGCAGGCUCCCCACGCCACUGUCCUCCGUCGGAGGGCGGGAAGGCCGCCUGCGGGUCGGCGCGAGUCAGAAGACCUGCCUUUGCGGA